AGGGACUCAGAGUCCCUUAGAAUCUCAGAAGUGCCUCUAGUGGCGGUCUGAUAGCCAGUGGAGGCAGUCUAAGUCCUUAAAGGUAAUUGUUGCAAGUUGACAUAUCACAUUAAAGUACAUGAAAGAUUCUAUGAUGCCGUGACAACGCAUGACAGCGGAUUGGUGGCUUCCCUUUGAUGAGGCAGACUCGCAACCAUUAGCACAGGCGUAUCUUAUUCCGCUAGGAGUUUGGAGGCCUUGCGCUGGGAAAUCAAUUAUGCCGG